rnacentral:lncRNA from 1 species
CCUAAGAUAGGAACUUGUUCGAUAGUUAAUAAAAAAGCAAAGUGUUUAAUUUAUGUUGUAGUUAUAGAAAGAUUAAUAGUUCUUUGUCCACUACCUGAUAAAACAAUAACAAUCCUUGAUUAUGAGUUCCUCUAUUCAUCUGUUGAGAUUGCUUCUGGAUGCCUCAUCUUUUAUAAGUUCAUGCUAAUACACCUUGAUGAUGCAGUGAAUAGAAUAGCAGUUCUAAGGGACAUAUACCACUUUAUUUCCUAUAAUGCAUAUUUUUGUUUCCUGGGCUCUGUCACAAAAAAGGUAUUGAAGGCCUUCUAGUGGGAAUCAUGGCCAAGCUGAUAAUUCAACAUAAGGAAAAGCAGAUUUUAGAUCAAUUUGAAAAAUCUGUGAAUAUAUAUGUUAGAUAUGUCAAUGAUCUCUGCAUAAUAUGGAGGGAUAAAUUGCAUACCAUUGAUCUUAAAAGUCAGUUAACAGACUUGGCAUUCUGCCUAAAUUUAAAACUUCACCAGCAGUUGGAUAAGGAAUUCUAUUUCUUAAAUGUCCAUAUUACACUUUGGGCCAGAUAACAAAAUGUAUUAGAAGCCCACUUAUGCUCCAGUAAUUAUCCCUUCACAGUCUGAAGACCCAUUUUAAAUUUCAGCAUUUAAAUCCUAGUUCAAAGAGUCAUCACUCAUUGCUCCACAUAUGGAGAUAGGAUAGUAGAAAUAUCAGAAUAUAAUUGACCAAAACCUAAAACAUGGAUACAACCUUAGUAUUCUUAAUGAUAUAUAAUAUAUAGAAAGGUCAAAGAUAUCUUUUACAAUAACUUAAACACGAUUACUUAUAAAGCAGAUGAUAAUGCAAAAAGGCUGGAUAGUAUUGGUUACAACACAAUUGUGUAUGACUCCCAUAUGUAAAAAGAAAUUCUAACAAAACACAGAGAAGAUUCUUUUACAAAAUACUCCAAGUUAUCUUUGCAACUAUCAGAAAUGACAAAGACCCAGCAAAUCAGGAAUUUAUUCUGCUCUCACUAAACACUUCCACUAAACAUUUCUUCUAAACACUUUGCCCAGUUAUGAAAAAUAUAUUGAUAGAACUCUAAGAAAACUUAACAAUCACUUGAAAGAUUAUCAUAGAGACAUCUCUCUGAAAGACAUAACCAAACACCGGAAUGAAGCAACAAUGUUAAAACCAUUAAAGAAGAAUUCUUGCUACAAUAUAGUAGAAGGAAUUGAGAAAUUAAAAAAGGAAGAAUGUCUAAUUUUGUGAUAAAUGAGAAUCUCCCUGAAGAUCUUUCAGCAGCAUGGCAUUGGUAUUUAAGAAAUAGUUUAUAAUAUUAGUUUAACAUAUAUGAUAACUAUACUUUGUGACACUCCC